AUUCUCCUCAUUUUUUCCUUUAAAAACCAUUUCUUUCUUUUACCUCCCUGAGUACUCAUAUGGGCACAGCAGUCUCAUUGCAGUGUAUUCUCAUGCACUAUUCCCAAAUAAAUAUUUUUUUCUUUUAGAAAGCCUCUCUCUGUUUGUUAUUUAGGCUGACAAUAACAACCCCAGGAAAUGGGUAAGUUAUUAUCCCUAUUUAUUGAUGGGUUGCGGGGGAGAAACAGAAAAGGAUCAGGCUAUUUGCUUAAAGUCCCUCAGCAAGUUGGCUCCCAAGGCAAGUCCAGUGCCCUUGCAUCCCAUCACCUCCUAGACCCUCCACCAGUGCUGCUUAUUCUCUCUGCUGUUUUCCCAGAAUCAUUCACUGCCCUUCUCCACAUCACAGGAGCUCCUGUCUCCUCUGACUUCAGGUUGGACUGGCUAAUAGAAAGACCAAAAGGUGGCAGGAGAGCAGAGUUGAGCAUUCGUUCCCUGGCUCUCCCCCUGCCUCAGCACUGUGGCUCUGACAAUGACUGGAUCCCUCUACAACUUCGACUCUUAUCUAGAGCCUCCUUCCACAGUGAUUCUGCAUAUCUGUUACAUUCUAAGGCCACUUCACAACACUACCAAACCCAGCUUUACAGUUUGGAAGACUGAGAGAAUCAUACCCAAAGCCACAAACAUCCAAAUAUGGUGUUCUUCACAAGAAACUAAUAAUGAACUUGAGACAGAGUCUGCAGGGAUAGGUAUCAGAAGUCAAGUCUAAAGUAUAUGAGGUCUAUGUUCAAACAGGAGCCUGGACAUGACUGAGAUAAAGAAUGAUUCCCGAGCUGGGCACACUGGCUUAUGCCUAUAAUUCCAGUGACUCAGAAGGCUGAGGCAAGAGGAUUGCUUGAGGCCAAGAGUCUGAGGCUCUAUUGAGCUAUGAUUGCACCACUACUGUCCAACCUGGGGGACACAGCAAGAGCUUGUCUCUUAAAAAAGAAAAAAAAAGAUUGAGUCCAGAGUUAGAGCUACAGGAUAAAAAUAAGUUAACUGAACUCAGGGGGAGAAAGGAGGGGAACCUACUCCAAAUUCUAGCUCAGGUCUUACCUAAAUGUGGGCUGGCUCAGCUCCCAAGUGGCUGAGUGAGGUCAUGACUGAGAAGAAAGGACCCCUGGCCCAAGUCGUGAGUUGAAUGACUCUUAGGUUGAGAAGCUUUCGUACCUAAGAAUCAAGUGGCCAGUGGUGCACCAUGGGAGAGAUGAUCACCAAACUUUUCUUCUCUUUGAGGUCACACACCUAGAUUACCUGCCCCAGUCUCCCUUGCAGUUAGAUCUGGCUGUGAGGUUGAGUUUUAGCCAGUGGGAUAAAGAUGGAAGUUUCCACUGGCCUAACCCAUAAAUUCCUCCACAACUCUUCCCACUUUUAAUCUUAUGCCCCCAUGUCGUCUCUUCUCCCAGCCUUCUUCGUCUCAAUAAAUGUCACUAGCACAUAUCCAGUCAUUCAAGGAAAAACACAAUGGAGAAAACCAUCCUCAACUACCCAUUCCCUUUACCUCACUCUUUCCCAGCAUCCUGCAAAAUCUCGCUCCAAAUAUAGCUCCAGUUUGUCCACUUCCCUCCCUUUUCUCCAGUCUAUAACCUUGGUUUACUCCAUCACUAUCUC
rnacentral:lncRNA from 1 species